rnacentral:rRNA from 1 species
GACGAACGCUGGCGGCGUGCCUAAUACAUGCAAGUCGAACGCAGUGGGGACGGGUGAGUAACACGUUGGUAACCUCCCAUCAGAGGGGAUAACACUUGGAAACAAGUGCUACCCCGAUACUGCUGGAUGGACCCGCUGUGCAUUAGCUAGUUGGUGAGUUAACGGCUCACCAAGGCAACGCUGCCUAGCCGACCUGGGAGGGUGAUCGGCCAGACUGGGACUGAGACACGGCCCAGACGCCUACGGGAGGCAGCAGUAGGGAAUCUUCGGCAAUGGACGAAAGUCUGACCGAGCAACGCCGCGUGAGUGAAGAAGGUUUUCGGAUCGUAAAACUCUGUUGUUAGAGAAGCGGUAUCUAACCAGAAAGCCACGGCUAACUACGUGCCAGCAGCCGCGGUAAUUC